GUAUAAAUUUUGUCUUUUUUAGACAGGAGGACCUUGACCACGUGUCCUCAUUACUAGGAAGUACUGUGAAUGGGUUUACAGUCGAGUUUGGGGGUGACGCAGAACCAGCUGAGUUCUGGGGUGAUGCAGAAUCAGCUGAGGUCAUCAGUGACACUGGGGCUUUGCAUGAACUUAAUAAGGUUGUGGGAAUAGAGGAUUGUCCGGCAGAGGUGCCAGCUUUCUCGAUAGAUAGUCAUACUACAUUGUCUAUACCUAAUGAUGUGGUGAUGGAACCAAUUGUGGUUGUAGAUAAUGGUGGUGCGAGUACACUAGCUCAUACUCUAGAUAAAUCAAAGAGAUUUACAUUUAACACUCCUAGAGCUAGUGGUAAACAAAAUAAAAAACCAGACGAGGGACGUACUGAAAAAAAUAUCCGUCUAUGGAACGAAGUCUUAUUUUUAAGAGGCAAAUUGCUAAUGCGACUGCUGUGUAUCAGUCUGAAUUGAAGGAGCUUUUGAAAACUGCCAAGCAAGAAAAAAUUACAAAAUUCUUCAAACCAUUGCCUAAGCCUUAAGAUAAUUAAUUAAAAUGUUCAAAAACUUCAAUGAAAUAAUUUUUUUAUAUAUGUAUUUGUUUUUUUUAUUUUGUCACCUAGGAACGUAUCCCCUAUAAUCCCAUAUAAAUUGCCAUUCCGUACUCACGGUUUCUGUAUUCGCGGCAUAUUUAUGGAACAUAUACCCCGCGAAUAAAGAGCUUUUACUGUACAUAGUUAUUCAUACUACAAUAGGGAAAGACGUAGAAGAAGCUCAAGUGUAACCCCAUUCGCUGUACUUCCUAGGAAAUAUAAGAAAGAUCCCGAACUAUUUUUUAAACUUGUAUUUUUACUAUAUACUUGUAUAUAGUAUAAGAACAAAAUAAAACUAUUAUUUUAUAA